AGAGAAAUUUUAUUUUUAAAUCGUGUAGAUGUAAAGAGGAAAAUUAAGUUUUUACUUGCAGAUAAUACGAUUCAAUGAGAAAUAUUAACUAUGCAGUAUAAAAAGAACAGUUUGCAACGAUUCACGAUUUUUCCGUGUUCCAAAACUCAUUAAAAAAGAUAUUAAUCCUUUUUGUGACCAAUCAUGCAGCAUCUGUAUUUGGCGCGUUUUCUCAUUAGAUAAUUUUCUCGAGUCGGCCGAGUGUCCUGCCGGAUAUGCGCAGUAUUCUUCCUACAAUGAGUCAUUGUUUCGUUGAGAUAUUUAGAAAGUGCUGAAUCUACAAUCGUAAAGUCGAGUUAUUAGAUCAGGUAUUGUUUAAAAAGAAAUAUUGACGUUAAUUAGGAAGUGUCAAAUCUGAUGAUGUCACCAGCCCGAAUAAUGUCAUCAAUUUAUACAUUUUCCAAGUAUAUUAUUUGCUAAUUUAUUUAUUUAUUUAUCCGCUAAUUAUCGUGCAUUGCUAAUUAGAAGAAAUAAGAUGUCUAAAAUACGCCGGCUCUCGCUUCGCGGUAUUCGUAAUUUCGGUGACGACAACGAGGAUGCCUUGAUACGUUUCGCCUGUCCAUUAACGCUCAUCCUGGGGCCGAAUGGUACUGGCAAAACGACCAUCAUCGAGGCGCUGAAAUAUGCCACAACCGGCACGUUUCCACCGGAUUCCGAGAAAGGAAAAUCCUUUAUACAUGAUCCUAUUCUGGCAACAACCGGUUCGAUCAGAGGGGUUGUUAAAGCUGAGGUAGUGGAUUCAACAGGUAAUAUUUAUGUAGUAUCCAGAACAAUAGAGUCACAAGCGAGAACAAAGAGGUUUAAGACCUUAGACUGUACUGUAACGCAAGUAAAUAAGGAUAGGCAAGAAAAAACAUCGAUAACUAACCGAUGUACAAAUGUCGACGCAGAGCUCAGUAUAAUAUUGGGUGUUUCAAAAUCCAUUUUGAAUUAUGUCAUAUUUUGCCAUCAAGAUGAGCUUAACUGGCCCUUCGAAGUAGGCAAAACAUUGAAAGAAAGAUUCGAUGAAAUAUUUGGCAGUACUAAAUUUAAUAAAGCAUUGGAAAAUAUUACUAAGAUUCAUAAAGAUCUUGAGGGGGAGAUUCGAGGCCUGAAAACAGAGCAAAAGGCUUUAAGCGUAAUCGUGGCUGAGGUAGACGAUAAAGAAGCUAAACUUGAGGAUCACAGGAAGAGAUUGGAUGUUGCAAAGAAGAAAAUAGACGACAUCGAUAAUCAGGUCAAACCCUUAAAACAGAAAAUAGAAGAGAUGCAACAGUUUAACUUGGAGUACAAAAAUGUGCAAGCUGAAGAAGAAAAAAAGAAAAUGGAGUAUAAUAUGCACAAGGAACGAUACGAGAAGCUGAAAGAGAGCAUAAAAGAUAUCUUUGAAGGAACAACGGAGGAACUAAAUAUGCGCAUAGAGUCAUACGAUACUAUUUUGAAAGAAAAGAAUGAUGAGAUAACGGAGAAUGAGUCUGAGGUCAAAGGUAUAUCUGAGAAGGCAACUAGAAUCUCGUCUAUCUUGGCAACACGAAGGGAAACUGUAGGCACGUUGAAGCAACAAGUGAAAGAUCAUGAGAAACGAAUAGUUCGUCGCAAUCAGGUAUUGAAUGAGGCAUUGCAAGCAUGGAGUUUCGACACGGUGGAAUCUGACGUAUCUGAAAUAGAGGUGAAGGCUCUUACGAAAAGAUUGGAUCAAAAGAUGCGAGCGUUGGAAGAAGAGAUGGAAGACAAUAGAUGGGCGAUGCAAAAGCAAGAAAGAGAGUUACAGAAACAAGCUGACGUGCUGCGUAGUAAUCACUCAAAAAUAGAGUCGGAAAUGGUUCUCAAAGACAAAGAAGUAAUAGCGAUUAGAGACGAGAUCGAUGCAAUUCGCAACCAGAUAACGCAGAUUGGUGUAGCGGGAAACAAAUUGAGGUCCAUUGAACAGAAACUCCAAGCGGCGAAACAAAAGAUUGACGAACUUGGCAAUGCGAUGGAUACCGACUCCGUUAAAAAUGAUAUCGAGAACAAGAUAAAAUCCAGAGAUAAGAUGGAAACGAGUUUAAGUGCGAUCGACGACGAGAUCUCUUCCUUACAUAAAUUGAGCUCGUUGACGGCCGAGUUCGAGUUAAAUAAGUCAACGUUACAAGCCAAGGAAGAGGAAUUGGAGAAUUUGAAGGAGAAGCACGGCAAUAAGAUCAAAGAAUUGUUGGAUAUCCAAGAAGUGCAACAAAUCAAAUUAAAAAAUCCUUUGGAACGCGUUCAUCAACAACUGGAGAAAGAAACAAAGUGUUUGACACGAGAGAUUCAGGCACAAGAGUGCAAAACUGCUGCUUUUGACACGACAGUGCGACACAUAGUAUCUGAAAUCGGGAAGAAGAGGCUGGAAUUACAGAGUGAUAAGGGAAAGAUAUCUACAGUUUGUGAUUACAAGGACUUUGAUGAAACUUUAUUGAUGCAAUCGAAGGUACUGAAGGAUCUUCAGGAAAAGAGAGGCAUUUACGCUUACCAAGCUACAGCUUACAAGGACUACAUUAAGAAGCUAUCCGUGGAAGAUCCCUGUUGCCCCUUGUGCCAUAGAAACUUCCAGGAGAAAGAUAAAGUCACAGAUUUAAUAAGAGAGAUGGAGAGGGAUAUAAUCCGCAAUCAACCAGAUCGCUUAAAGCAGUACGAAGAGGAACUAAAGACGCAACAGGAAAAAUAUGAUAAUAUGCUGCAGCUGAAACCCGUUGUUGAGAAAGUGAUUCAGUGUGAGGAAAAUGAUUUGAAAAAAUUAGAAGAAAAGUUGGAGAAAACAAAGAACAGCUUGAAGCAGUCAAAAAUGGCUGUAAAGGAUCUGGAGACAUCGAAGGAAGUGCCUGACAAGAAACUACUACUCUACAAAGACAUGAUAGGCGAUAUCAAACUCUGGGAUCGGUGUAUCGACGAAGUCGAGCAGUUAAGGAGGACCGUUGGUAACCUGGAGACUCAAAUGGCUAAUGCUGGAGCUAAUACCGAGAGAACUAUAGAAGAGGCGCAGACGCAGCGAGACUCUUUGAAAACAUUUCUCAGAGAGACUCGUAACAACAUCGAAGCACUGCGGCUUAAAUUGAGCAAGCAUACCGAGAAGUUACAGGACGCUAGGGCGAGGUACAACGAGUUACACGAAGAACAAUUGAGAAUACAAACGGACAUGCAGAAACUGAAGCAUCUGGAGGAUAAGAAGAAUGAAUUGUACACCCGAGAAGUUACUCUAGGGGAUACGGUAGAGAGAUUGCGACGAGACUUGGCAGAGGCCGAGGAUUGUCUGGAUUCCGAAAUUCAGCGAUUAGAAAAGAUCAAGACGGAGAACUGGCAGAAACGAGAGGCGGAGAGAAAAUCGGCUGCCGAGAGUACCAGACGCUUAUCCGACCUGCACAAAAUGAUCGACGAAGUCGAUUCGUUCGUCAGCAGCAACGUGGCCGAGAAACUCGCACGGUUCGAGCGCGAGAUCGAGUCUUAUCAGAAUACGUUGAUGGACCUUACAACCAAGAGAGAAGAGAUCGAACAAGCGAUAAGCAAACUGAAGGAACAAGUUGCUACUCAGGAGAUCGGGAAGCGAGAGCUUCUCGACAAUAUGGCGUUGCGUAAGAUCAAGGAAACGUUAGAAACCCUGAAGGAGCAAUACAGGAGACUGAACGAGAAGGUGAAAAGCAUGAAUUACAACGAGGUAGCCAGAAGAUGGGAGCAAUUGGUGAAUGAGGAGCAGACGUUGCUUCGUCAGAGGAACGUGGCGCAGGGAAGUAAAGAGGAGCUGGAAAGAGUCAUCAAGCAAUACGUGCAGGAAUUGCGCAAAGAGGAGUACCGAUUAGCUCGUCGGAAGUACACUAACAAAUGCAUCGCAUUAACGGUUCAAGAAGACGCCAUAGCGAAUCUGAAAGCUUACAACAAGGUACUGGAUGCUGCGAUGAUCGAUUAUCACGAGGAGCGUAUGGCAACGGUGAAUAGGAUUAUGAAGAAGCUGUGGAAGCACAUUUACAAGGGCACCGAUACCACCAGCAUAGAGAUUUGUAUGGAGCCUUCCGAGGAGCACAAAACCAAGAGAAGUUACAAUUACAAAUUGGUCCAGACUAAACACGGCUGCAAGAUGGACAUGAAAGGACGCUGCAGUGCUGGACAGAAAGUUAUGCGAUUUGUUUUUUGCAGGUGUUGGCGUCAAUAAUCAUAAGGCUCGCUCUGGCGGAAACGUUCUGCAAGGAUUGCGGCAUUCUUGCACUCGAUGAACCGACCACGAAUCUCGACGAGGAAAACGCGAACAGCUUAGCAGAUACGUUAACUAAAGUGGUCGAGCUGCGAUCGCGACACCAAAAGAACUUCCAGUUAAUUAUAAUCAGCCACGAUGAGAAGUUCCUGCAGAAGCUUGCAGAUUUGAAUGAUCACAGAACAUUCCACGAGCUCUACCG
rnacentral:misc_RNA from 1 species